GUCACACAUGUCCGGAGUCACAGCUUUCUUCCCCUCCUGGGAGGGUGAGUGUUCCCCACUGCGCUCCUGCUCUCUCUCCCUCUGCUGCUCCCAUCCACCCUUCGGAAACACUGACACAACUGCGCGCUGCCACUACCCUCCCCGUCUCUCUCUCCCACCCCUCUCUGCACAUUAUACCGUGGACGCGGCUGCCGAAAGGAGUAGAUUGAUUUGUGCCUGCACUCGGCUCCCUAAAACAAGUCUUCGGGGAGUGCAGGGCAUAAACCACCAUCCCGUUUGCUUAAUUGCCACUCCGCUCCACCCCCAGCCCCCCUAACCCCCCACCCCUGAAAGAGACAGGCCAAGAAUUCUAAUUGAGCUGCUGCCUCUAUAGCUCCUGCUCUACAGAUCCCCCAUUUAUCACUUCUGCUGCGUCCAGGUUCAUCAGCCACAGCUGAAAGCUCACAGGCUUCUUUUUUGCAUCGGUUUUAUUUCUUAAUUCUGGCACCUUAAUGUUAAUUAGCUAUGGAUUUCCAAAAACUGUGUUUUCAGUAGUAGCUUUUUUGAAUCAUCCAGCUCCAGGCUCCGUGUCGGCUUUUCAAUUACUGCAGGGAGACAGGGCUGGAAUGGCAGCCGCAUAUUAAUGCCUCAGCUCAGGACAGCAUGUAUACAGAAACAGACUGAGAAAAGAAGGAAAACAAGCCCAUUGGCAACACCAGCAGCACAAUAGGACAUGGACCGUAAUGCAGACAGCUGACAUGGAGCAUAGGCAGACAGACUACGCCUGCUUGCUUUUGGAUCUGCACGGCUCAGACCAUGAUAAAAAAAAAAAAGAUAAACCCUGAAACCCAUCUUUUCCGUUACUGCUUAAUGAUGAACAGGUACAGUAUUUAUUGGAAAUUUAAGUCUGCUUACUCAUAGUAUUGAAUGUAUGUGGCAACCUGCUUUUUAAUUAAUCAAAAGCAAUCAAUGAAUAUAUUUCAAAACACUGUACUUCCCUUCAAUUGCAUGUGGUUUUUAGUUCUCAGAGUUUAUGAUGUAAUUCAAGCUUUCUAAUAAAAUGUAUUAGUAUA